UCUACAGCCACCAUGACUCCACUGCUGCUGCUUUCUGUCUGCAUAGCUUUCAUUCAGGAUUCAAGAUGUCAGAUUUCUUUAACUCAACCAUCAGCACCAAAGUCAGUUUCUCCUGGAGGGAGCGUCACCUUCAGCUGUACCACUGGAAGUAAUGUGUAUGGUAACAUGGCCUGGUACCAGCAGAGACCUGGAGAAACUCCUAAACCCCGGAUCUAUGCUGCAAGCACUCGCUACGGUGACACCCCGAGUCGCUUCACUGGCAGCGGGUCAGGAACUUCAUACAGUUUGACUAUCAGUGGAGUCCAGCCUGAAGACGCCGGUCACUACUACUGUCAGCAGCAUGCUAGCUUCCCUCUCACACAGUGAUUGAGACUCGUACAAAAACCUCACUGAGCUGCUGUCAUGUCUGCAGGUGCGAAACUGAAGCACUGAGAUGAGACUUAAAGCAGAAACCAAUGAGCUGAAACAACUGAAUGUGAGGUGACAGUAAAACCAAAGAGGAACAAACUAACUGAAAAAUUAGAAUGAAAGAAACAUAACAGAGCAAAGAAAAUCUACCUUACAUUAUU